CACGCUGCCGCUGAGUAAGAACAUGGUGCUGAAUCACCAGAUUCUGAUAUUGUUCCGUCAGAACAUGGUGCUAUGCCGUGCAGACUGCAGACCAUGCUAUUUCUCUUUUUCUCCUCUACUUCUUCUCUCCCUUUAUAUCUUCUUUGUAUGGUCUGGUUACUUUCUUUUGCAUUUUCUUUUUAUUAGUACAGUCUGGUUUCUUUGUAUUUUCUUUGUAGGAUCUGGCUUCCUUCUCCGUGUCACAAUACCUUUCGUGCACUCACAUUUGCUCCUCUAGAUUGACCGGAUUUGGAGGCAGCGAUGUGCCGGUGGAAUGGGGAGGCAAGGCAACAGGAGGAAAUCUUAAUAUCCACGCCUCCAACUGCUACUUGUGACAGGAACAAAAAGAGAGCAAAGGAAAAUGAAGUACGAACCAAUAUUUCGCGACUGAAACAAACUAAUGCGAACGUACAUGUGAGCAUGAUCCCUACCAGGUUGUUUGCCAAUCAAAACAGCGGGAGAGGAUAUUAGUGUGCAAAAUGCGCGAGUGCAGUACAGGCGCGGCGUUCAUUCUCGGUGAACCAAACGGAGGCCAACGAGAGCCUGAGCUAUUUUGCCUGUGCUAUCGCGCCGGUCAUACGCGCAUCACACGUGGAGGCUUCGUGGCGCCGUCAUUCGUGGGCCUAACCGGUCAUAUGCGCAUCACACGUGGAGGCUUCAUGGCGCCGUUCUUGCCUCGCUAAAAUUUCCCUCUUUCGUCGCUCAACAUCACUCUUGCCGUCCCCUGCUCUUUGCGGACCUGCAGUGACGGACGAGGGUAGAUGUAUGCUGCUAUUGUUUGUUUCGAUUUCUGAAAUACAUUUUUUCUA